rnacentral:rRNA from 1 species
CGGCACGGGUGAGUAACACGUAUGGAACCUGCCCUAUGCAGGGGGGAUAAGCGGAAGAAAUUCCGUCUAAUACCGCAUAACACCUUUAGGAGACAUCUUCUUGGGGUCAAAGGAGGCGACUCCGGCAUAGGAUGGCCAUGCGUCGCAUUAGCUAGUCGGCGGGGUAACGGCCCACCGAGGCGACGAUGCGUAGGGGUUCUGAGAGGAAGGUCCCCCACACUGGUACUGAGACACGGACCAGACUCCUACGGAAGGCAGCAG